UAGGGAAUCUUCGGCAAUGGGGGGAACCCUGACCGAGCAACGCCGCGUGAGUGAAGAAGGUUUUCGGAUCGUAAAGCUCUGUUGUUAAGGAAGAACGAGUGUGAGAAUGGAAAGUUCAUGCUGUGACGGUACUUAACCAGAAAGGGACGGCUAACUACGUGCCAGCAGCCGCGGUAAUACGUAGGUCCCGAGCGUUGUCCGGAUUUAUUGGGCGUAAAGCGAGCGCAGGCGGUUAGAAAAGUCUGAAGUGAAAGGCAGUGGCUCAACCAUUGUAGGCUUUGGAAACUGUUUAACUUGAGUGCAGAAGGGGAGAGUGGAAUUCCAUGUGUAGCGGUGAAAUGCGUAGAUAUAUGGAGGAACACCGGUGGCGAAGCGGCUCUCUGGUCUGUAACUGACGCUGAGGCUCGAAAGCGUGGGGAGCGAACAGG
rnacentral:rRNA from 1 species